UCUAUUGUAUGUGUUUACGUUGCCCUUUAUUUUCAUUUACAGCCAAUUGUAGCAGUAGUGCUCAAAAUAUCUCGACAGCGCUGAUGGGUUGCGAUUCCGAAUCUCGGUGAAGUCUGAUCUCGGAAAGAUCUCAAGGUCGAGAGAGUCUCGAUAGAUGCUGGUAGACACGUAAAAUUACAAGUACUACGUCACAUCAAUGCGUCUCGUACACGCUUUCCAUAAAAAUACGAAUUCAUAUGAUAACAAGCAACGCAAUAAAACGCAUAUACCUCUCCCCUAUGCCGAUCAGUUACGUCAAUUACGUCGCAUUCGUUCUCGGCAUAAGAAAGGAAGAGAAAGAUAAAGAUAAAGAAAUAGAGAUGCAUUAAAUUUCACUCGAGCAAGAAUUUCUGCAAGAAUCUGGGGUAUUCUAAGAUCCGAACAUGUGACUUCGUGUGAUAACGGCUCUCAUUGCAGUGAUUUCAGAUCAAUCUUAGGCUACGUUCUACGUUGUGUUAACAAUUGAUUUAAAAAAAAAAAAGAGUCAAGUGCGUCGUGAAGUAGGAAAAAAGAAAAAAAGUAGAGAAACAAUAUAAGGAGGGAAUAGUAAAAAGUACGCAUACAUAGAUAGAGAGUCUGCCACUUACUACGGUAUCACGUCAUCAUCAUCAUCGUCGUCGUCGUUGUCGUCCCCAUUCGUUGUACGAGAAUCCGAUUAUCAUCGUCGCCACCUGCUGCAACAUCCAUCGUCGACAGAACAACUCG